UCAUCCCAGCCCCUUUUCUCCCCU
rnacentral:miRNA from 1 species